CAGUUCGGUCCCUAUCUGCCGUGGGCGUUGGAAGAUUGAAGGGGGCUGCUCCUAGUACGAGAGGACCGGAGUGGACGAACCUCUGGUGUUCGGGUUGUGUCGCCAGACGCAUUGCCCGGUAGCUAAGUUCGGAAUCGAUAACCGCUGAAAGCAUCUAAGCGGGAAGCGAGCCCUGAGAUGAGUCUUCCCUGAUACUUUAAGUAUCCUAAAGGGUUGUUCGAGACUAGAACGUUGAUAGGCAGGGUGUGUAAGCGUUGUGAGGCGUUGAGCUAACCUGUACUAAUUGCCCGUGAGGCUUAACCAUACAACACCCAAGGGGUUU
rnacentral:rRNA from 1 species